UACGUAGGGUGCAAGCGUUAAUCGGAAUUACUGGGCGUAAAGCGUGCGCAGGCGGUUAUGUAAGACAGGUGUGAAAUCCCCGGGCUCAACCUGGGAACUGCAUCCGAAACUGCCUUGCUAGAGUAUGGGAGAGGGAAGUGGAAUUUCCGGUGUAGCGGUGAAAUGCGUAGAUAUCGGAAGGAACAUCAGUGGCGAAGGCGACUUCCUGGACCAAUACUGACGCUCAGGUGCGAAAGCGUGGGGAGCAAACAGG
rnacentral:rRNA from 1 species